ensembl:lncRNA
GCAGGGUCUUCGUGCCGAGCGGGACCUCGGGCGCGGGAGUCGUCCGUGUGGGCUCCGAGCAGCCGGGCCGCCCUCCCUGCGACCCGCACCCCGGCGCCGCGUGGCUGUCUCCGCGCCCCCAGCCCCGACACCCCGUACCCGUGCGGCCUCCGAGCUCCGCCCGCGUCCCUAGGCGUCGCAGAACCGAUUUGCCAGGUAGAUAAAGAAGCUGUUACUAUCCUCCUUUACAAAAGAGGAAACGCGGCUCCAGCAGACUGUAGGCUACCAGGCUCCUCUGUCCAUGAGAUUCUCCAGGCAAGAGUACUGGAGUGGAUUGCUAUUUCCUUCUCCAGGGAAUCUUCCUGACACAGGGAUCAAACCCUUGUCUCCAGCUUGGCAGGUGGAUUCUUUACCACUGAGCCACCAGGGAAACCCAAUAUUCUGGAUAUGUUGGUUAAAUAAAACAUCUGUUGUUCAGUCACUCGGUCGUGUCCAACUCUUUGGGACCCCAGGGACUGUAGCGCACCAGGCUUCCCUGUCCUUCAUUAUCUCCUGGAGUUUUCUCAAACUCAUGUCCAUUGAGUCAAUGAUACUAUCCAACCAUCUCAUUCUCUGUCAUAAUAUCAAAUUAAUUCCAUCUGUUGCUCUUGAGUUUUCAGCGCAGCUUCUAGAAGAUGCGAGGUUUCACAGGUGGCACGCGUGGUGUCCCUGGCGGACACCGGUGCAGACAGCGGGGCACUACUGGAUAAGGAUUCCACGUGGAAGGCAGGCCACAGCGUCCGUCUUUUUCCUCCCGAUAAUUACAAAACCACCGAGGCCAAUUUACAAGAAGAAAAAAUAUUUCACCAGCAACAACAGACAGGGAAGGAUGCAAACCCACAUGCCAUAAGGCCAAAGGAGGGGAAGAGGUGCUGGUGGGGCUCUGUGGAACCCCCAGUACCUAAUGAAAGGGAGCUCGCAAAAUCCUGAGGGUCCUGACAGGGGGAAGAGCCAUGUGUAACACGUGUGUUUGAGCAUGUGUCUUAUGCUCACAGAGCAAGAAUUCACAAUUCAGAAAAGCAGAGGAACCAGAGAUCAAAUUGCCAACAUCCACUAGAUUAUCAAAAAAGCAAGAGAGUUCCAGAAAAACAACUAUUUCUGCUUUAUUGAUUAUGCCAAAGCCUUUGACUGUGUGGAUCAUAACAAAAUGUGGAAAAUUCUUCAAUAGACGGGAAUACCAGACUACCUUACCUGCCUCCUGAGAAAUCUGUCUGCAGGUCAGGACACAACAGUUAGAACUGGACAUGGAGCAACAGACGGGUUCCAAAUUGGGAAAGGAGUACGUCAAGGCUGUGUAUUGUCACCCUGCUUAUUUAACUUAUAUGCAGAGUACAUCAUGUGAAAUGCCGGGCUGGAUGAAG